UCUCAAAAACCGGUCCCAGUUCGGAUUGUAGGCUGCAACUCGCCUACAUGAAGUCGGAGUUGCUAGUAAUCGCGGAUCAGAAUGCCGCGGUGAAUGCGUUCCCGGGUCUUGUACACACCGCCCGUCACACCAUGGAAGUUGGGGGCGCCCGAAGUUGCCUAAGAAAUAAGGUACCUAAGGCGAAACCAAUGACUGGGGUGAAGUCGUAACAAGGUAAC
rnacentral:rRNA from 1 species